rnacentral:tRNA from 1 species
GGGCACUUGGCACAGUUGGUAGCGCGCACGCUUCGCAUCAUAUGUUGCGUGAGGUCAGGAGUUCGACUCUUCUAGUGUCCA